UAGAUACCCUGGUAGUCCACGCUGUAAACGAUGAGUACUAGGUGUCGGGGGUUACCCCCUUCGGUGCCGCAGCUAACGCAUUAAGUACUCCGCCUGGGAAGUACGCUCGCAAGAGGGAAACUCAAAGGAAUUGACGGGGACCCGAACAAGUAGCGGAGCAUGUGGUUUAAUUCGAAGCAACGCGAAGAACCUUACCUAAGCUUGACAUCCCAAUGACAUCUCCUUAAUCGGGGAGUUCCCUUCGGGGACAUUGGUGACAGGUGGUGCAUGGUUGUCGUCAGCUCGUGUCGUGAGAUGUUGGGUUAAGUCCCGCAACGAGCGCAACCCUUGUCUUUAGUUGCCAUCAUUAAGUUGGGCACUCUAGAGA
rnacentral:rRNA from 1 species